AACGAGGCCGACCUGCGGCUGAGUUACCUGCGGAGGGAUCAUUACCGAGUGUGGCCCCCUAAUAAAGGGGGUACCUCCCCGUCCUCUGCGGGCCCUUUUUUGGGGCUUUUUGACUUUGCUUCGGCGGGGUUACCCCGUCGGAACACCCUCAAGAAAAUCUUUUUUAAAACCGUUCAGUCCGAGUUACUUGCAAAUAAAAGCAAAACUUUUAGCAACGGAUCUCAGAUCGGAAGAGCACAC
rnacentral:misc_RNA from 1 species